AUGAAAUCCUUCGAACGACUGGUGUUAGCCCAUCUGAAGGACAUUACAGGCCACCAGCUGGACCCUCUGCAGUUUGCCUACCGGGCAAACAGGUCGGUGGAUGAUGCAGUGAAUAUGGGGCUGCAUUACAUCCUGCAACACCUCGACCGCCCGGGAACUUAUGCCAGGAUCCUGUUUGUGGACUUUAGUUCGGCUUUUAACACCAUCGUGCCUGAACUUCUCUCUUCCAAACUCUCCCAGCUCAGCGUGUCUCCAGCUACCUGUCAGUGGAUCACCAGCUUCCUGACAGACAGAAAGCAACAAGUGAGGCUGGGGGAGAUCACCUCUGAAACUCGGACCCUCAGUAUUGGUGCCCCUCAAGGAUGUGUCCUCUCACCACUACUGUUCUCCCUCUACACUAAUGACUGCACCUCCAAGAACUCGGCUGUUAAACUCCUAAAGUUUGCAGAUGACACCACCGUCAUUGGCCUCAUUCAGGAUGGUGAUGAGUCUGCAUACCGGCAGGAAGUUGAGCGGCUGGUACUCUGGUGCAGUCAGCACAAUCUGGAGCUGAACACUCUUAAAACUGUAGAGAUGACAGUGGACUUCAGGAGACAUCCCCCAACUCUGCCCCCCCUCAUCAUGUCAGACAGCCCUGUGUCGACUGUGAAGAUCUUCAAGUUCCUGGGUACCACCAUCUCCCAGGACCUGAAGUGGGAGACCAACAUCAACUCCAUCCUCAAAAAGACCCAGCAGAGGAUGUACUUCCUGAGACAACUGGGGAAGUACAGUCUUCCACAGGAGCUGCUGACCCAGUUCUACACUGCAGUCAUUGAGUCUGUCCUGUGCUCCUCCAUCACAGUCUGGUAUGGUGCAGCCACUAAACAGGACAGGAGCAGACUGCAGCGGACUGUACGGGCAGCAGAAAGGAUCAUCGGCGCCCCCUGCCCUCCAUCCAGGAUCUGUACCUCUCAAGAACCAGGAAACGGGCAGGGAAAAUCAUCACAGACCCCUCACACCCUGGACACAGACUUUUUGAUCUGCUGCCCUCUGGCAGACGGUACAGAAGCCUGCAGACCAGGACCACCCGACACAGGAACAGUUUCUUUCCCCUCGCCAUCUCCCUUCUAA
rnacentral:lncRNA from 1 species